rnacentral:rRNA from 1 species
AGCAACUAUACGGUGAAACUGCGAAUGGCUCAUUAAAUCAGUUAUCGUUUAUUUGAUAGUACCUUACUACAUGGAUAACCGUGGUAAUUCUAGAGCUAAUACAUGCUAAAAACCCCGACUUCGGAAGGGGUGUAUUUAUUAGAUAAAAAACCAAUGCCCUUCGGGGCUCUCUGGUGAUUCAUAAUAACUCAACGAAUCGCAUGGCCUUGCGCCGGCGAUGGUUCAUUCAAAUUUCUGCCCUAUCAACUUUCGAUUGUAGGAUAGAGGCCUACAAUGGUAUCAACGGGUAACGGGGAAUUAGGGUUCGAUUCCGGAGAGGGAGCCUGAGAAACGGCUACCACAUCCAAGGAAGGCAGCAGGCGCGCAAAUUACCCAAUCCCGACACGGGGAGGUAGUGACAAUAAAUACUGAUACAGGGCUCUUUUGGGUCUUGUAAUUGGAAUGAGUACAAUCUAAAUCCCUUAACGAGGAACAAUUGGAGGGCAAGUCUGGUGCCAGCAGCCGCGGUAAUUCCAGCUCCAAUAGCGUAUAUUAAAGUUGUUGCAGUUAAAAAGCUCGUAGUUGAACCUUGGGCCUGGCUGGCCGGUCCGCCUCACCGCGUGCACUGGUUCGGCCGGGCCUUUCCUUCUGGGGAACCGCAUGCCCUUCACUGGGCGUGCCGGGGAACCAGGACUUUUACUUUGAAAAAAUUAGAGUGUUCAAAGCAGGCCUUCGCUCGAAUACAUUAGCAUGGAAUGAUAGAAUAGGACGUGCGGUUCUAUUUUGUUGGUUUCUAGGACCGCCGUAAUGAUUAAUAGGGAUAGUCGGGGCCAUCCGUAUUCAAUUGUCAGAGGUGAAAUUCUUGGAUUUAUUGAAGACGAACUACUGCGAAAGCAUUUGGCAAGGAUGUUUUCAUUAAUCAGUGAACGAAAGUUAGGGGAUCGAAGACGAUCAGAUACCGUCGUAGUCUUAACCAUAAACUAUGCCGACUAGGGAUCGGACGGUGUUAUUAUUUUGACCCGUUCGGCACCUCACGAGAAAUCAAAGUCUUUGGGUUCUGGG